ensembl:lncRNA
AGAGGGUAGGUUAGGUAAGUAGUGGGUAGGCAGGUAAGAUAGGAGAGGGUAGGUUAGGUAAGUAGUGGGUAGGCAGGUAAGAUGGGAGAGGGUAGGUUCGGUAAGUAGUGGGUAGGCAGGUAAGAUAGGAGAGGGUAGGUUAGGUAAGUAGUGGGUAGGCAGGUAAGAUAGGAGAGGGUAGGUUAGGUAAGUAGUGGGUAGGCAGGUAAGAUGGGAGAGGGUAGGUUAGGUAAGUAGUGGGUAGGCAGGUAAGAUAGGAGAGGGUAGGUUAGGUAAGUAGUGGGUAGGCAGGUAAGAUGGGAGAGGGUAGGUUAGGUAAGUAGUGGGUAGGCAGGUAAGAUAGGAGAGGGUAGGUUAGGUAAGUAGUGGGUAGGCAGGUAAGAUAGGAGAGGGUAGGUUAGGUAAGUAGUGGGUAGGCAGGUAAGAUAGGAGAGGGUAGGUUAGGUAAGUAGUGGGUAGGCAGGUAAGAUAGGAGAGGGUAGGUUAGGUAAGUAGUGGGUAGGCAGGUAAGAUAGGAGAGGGUAGGUUAGGUAAGUAGUGGGUAGGCAGGUAAGAUAGGAGAGGGCAGGUUAGGUAAGUAGUGGGUAGGCAGGUAAGAUAGGAGAGGGUAGGUUAGGUAAGUAGUGGGUAGGCAGGUAAGAUAGGAGAGGGCAGGUUAGGUAAGUAGUGGGUAGGCAGGUAAGAUGGUAGAUGGGGCUUUGACAUUUACUUUCUUUGCUUUGGUUCCGUUCAGCUCCUUUCCCUCAAAUGUAUCGUGUGAAGGAAUAAAUUACCAGUAAAGGGUCA